CAAGUGGUAGGAGAGCGUUCUAUUUGCGUCGAAGGUAUACCGGUAAGGAGUGCUGGAGCGAAUAGAAGUGAGCAUGCAGGCAUGAGUAGCGAUAAUUAAUGUGAGAAUCAUUAACGCCGUAAACCCAAGGUUUCCUACGCGAUGCUCGUCAUCGUAGGGUUAGUCGGGUCCUAAGUCGAGUCCGAAAGGGGUAGACGAUGGCAAAUUGGUUAAUAUUCCAAUACCAACAUUAGUGUGCGAUGGAAGGACGCUUAGGGCUAAGGGGGCUAGCGGAUGGAAGUGCUAGUCUAAGGUCGUAGGAGGUUAUACAGGCAAAUCCGUAUAACAUACUCCGAGAACUGAAAGGCUUUUUGAAGUCUUCGGAUGGAUAGAAGAACCCCUGAUGCCGUCGAGCCAAGAAAAGUUUCUAAGUUUAGCUAAUGUUGCCCGUACCGUAAACCGACACAGGUGGGUGGGAUGAGUAUUCUAAGGCGCGUGGAAGAACUCUCUUUAAGGAACUCUGCAAAAUAGCACCGUAUCUUCGGUAUAAGGUGUGGUUCGCUUCGUAUUAGGAUUUACUCCGAAAGCGAAGAAACUUACAACAAAGAGUCCCUCCCGACUGUUUACCAAAAACACAGCACUCUGCUAACUCGUAAGAGGAUGUAUAGGGUGUGACGCCUGCCCGGUGCUCGAAGGUUAAUUGAUGGGGUUAGCAUUAGCGAAGCUCUUGAUCGAAGCCCGAGUAAACGGCGGCCGUAACUAUAACGGUCCUAAGGUAGCGAAAUUCCUUGUCGGUUAAAUACCGACCUGCAUGAAUGGCGUAACGAGAUGGGAGCUGUCUCAAAGAGGGAUCCAGUGAAAUUGUAGUGGAGGUGAAAAUUCCUCCUACCCGCGGCAAGACGGAAAGACCCCGUGGACCUUUACUAUAACUUGACACUGCUAUUUGGAUAAGAAUGUGCAGGAUAGGUGGGAGGCUUUGAUUAUAUGACGUCAGUUGUAUAGGAGCCAUUGUUGAGAUACCACUCUUUCUUAUUUGGGUAGCUAACUAGCCUAAGUUAUCCUUAGGUAGGACAAUGUCUGGUGGGUAGUUUGACUGGGGCGGUCGCCUCCCAAAUAAUAACGGAGGCUUACAAAGGUUGGCUCAGAACGGUUGGAAAUCGUUCGUAGAGUAUAAAGGUAUAAGCCAGCUUAACUGCAAGACAUACAAGUCAAGCAGAGACGAAAGUCGGUCUUAGUGAUCCGGUGGUUCUGUGUGGAAGGGCCAUCGCUCAAAGGAUAAAAGGUACCCCGGGGAUAACAGGCUGAUCUCCCCCAAGAGCUCACAUCGACGGGGAGGUUUGGCACCUCGAUGUCGGCUCAUCGCAUCCUGGGGCUGGAGCAGGUCCCAAGGGUAUGGCUGUUCGCCAUUUAAAGCGGUACGCGAGCUGGGUUCAGAACGUCGUGAGACAGUUCGGUCCCUAUCUGCCGUGGGCGUAAGAAGAUUGAAGAGAUUUGACCCUAGUACGAGAGGACCGGGUUGAACAAACCACUGGUGUAGCUGUUGUUCUGCCAAGAGCAUCGCAGCGUAGCUAAGUUUGGAAAGGAUAAACGCUGAAAGCAUCUAAGCGUGAAGCCAACUCUAAGAUGAAUCUUCUCUAAGCUCUCUAGAAGACUACUAGUUUGAUAGGCUGGGUGUGUAAUGGAUGAAAGUCCUUUAGCUGACCAGUACUAAUAGAGCGUUUGGCUUAUCUUU
rnacentral:rRNA from 1 species